UGGGGAAUAUUGCACAAUGGGCGCAAGCCUGAUGCAGCGACGCCGCGUGAGGGAUGACGGCCUUCGGGUUGUAAACCUCUGUUAGCAUCGAAGAAGCGAAAGUGACGGUAGGUGCAGAGAAAGCGCCGGCUAACUACGUGCCAGUAGCCGCGGUAAUACGUAGGGCGCGAGCGUUGUCCGGAAUUAUUGGGCGUAAAGAGCUUGUAGGCGGUUGGUCGCGUCUGCUGUGAAAGGCCGGGGCUUAACUCCGGUUUUGCAGUGGGUACGGGCUAACUAGAGUGCAGUAGGGGAGACUGGAAUUCCUGGUGUAGCGGUGGAAUGCACAGAUAUCAGGAGGAACACCGAUGGCGAAGGCAGGUCUCUGGGCUGUAACUGACGCUGAGAAGCGAAAGCAUGGGGAGCGAACAGGAUUAGAUACCCUGGUAGUCCAUGCCGUAAACGUUGGGCACUAGGUGUGGGGGACAUUCCACGUUUUCCGCGCCGUAGCUAACGCAUUAAGUGCCCCGCCUGGGGAGUACGGCCGCAAGGCUA
rnacentral:rRNA from 1 species